GACGAACGCUGGCGGCGUGCUUAACACAUGCAAGUCGAACGAUGAACCAGGGCUUGCCCUGGGGAUUAGUGGCGAACGGGUGAGUAGCACGUGGGCAACCUGCCCCAGACACCGGGAUAACCUCUCGAAAGAGUGGCUAAUACCGGAUACGACCACUUUGGGCAUCCAACGGUGGUGGAAAGGAUUCUGGUCUGGGAUGGGCCCGCGGCCUAUCAGCUUGUUGGUGGGGUAAUGGCCUACCAAGGCGACGACGGGUAGCCGGCCUGAGAGGGCGACCGGCCACACUGGGACUGAGACACGGCCCAGACUCCUACGGGAGGCAGCAGUGGGGAAUAUUGCGCAAUGGGCGAAAGCCUGACGCAGCGACGCCGCGUGAGGGACGAAGGUCUUCGGAUUGUAAACCUCUUUCAGCAGGGACGAAGCGAAAGUGACUGUACCUGCAGAAGAAGCACCGGCUAACUACGUGCCAGCCGCCGCUGUAAGAC
rnacentral:rRNA from 1 species